UUUUAAAAAGAACUUGUCUCGCAGUGGCUUAGUGGGAUUUGGGAUUUUGGACUGAAUUGGAAUAAGAAUAAGAACUUCAAUAAUUUUAUGGGCUAGGAAACUUUCCUUUCUUUCUUGUUUCCUCUUUGUGUUUGAUCUCCAUUGAACCUCAGAGGCCCGCCUCAAGAAGAUAUUGCAAUUUUUCUCGGGGAUUAUGGAUGACAUGCCGUUUUGUUCUCGAAUAAUGGUUCUCCAAUGUCAAACGACAAGUAUGUUCCGUCGUUGAAAAUGCAAAGUAGAGGCAGGCAGUGCUAUCGGUCUAAAGCAGAAAGAAAAGGAGUUUGGCCCCUUUUCGGAGUUUUACAGUUCUCAUCUGUUCUUGAGUUUAUUGGUGAUCUUUGAGGCAUUAGCUCAGACAACCUAGCUCUUUCGUUGUGACAGUGUUUACCUUAAAGGUCAAAUCUUGGCAUUCUCUUUCCAGCGAAGCAAGUCUAUUUUUCAUCUGCUCAAGUGCCUCCUCAGCAACCGCAGGGCUUAUAUUGGACACAGGUUUUGUUAUUCCUGCUGCCUGGAUUUUACAAUAAAGUGGGAAAAUAAGCACCAAGUUGCAAAUUUUACAAUAUUGGACACAGCUUGAAGUAACUGAUCUCGUUGCCGAAGCUUUUCCAAUGCUAUUUGUGCUGCAACCAUCUCAGCCUGUCUCCUAUCAAUUUCCUCUAGCCAUCUGGGAAAGAAAAUGUGCAAAUUCAUCAACACGCUGCAGACCAUUUUUGCCAGAGGCAAGCCAUUUAAUAUUUUGAAGCAAGAUAUGCUUACCCUCGCCUCUCCUCAAUAAAUUCAUUGAGCUGCUGUUUGAGCUUCAUGACCUCCUGCUGCUCCUGUAUGGCCAAGGGUCACAAUUAAGAUAAAAUAUCUAAUAGUUGCCCUAAUUUCACAUCACCAAAGUAAAGAAUACCUUAGGUUGAGGUUCGAAGCUAUUAAGUUGAGCUUUCUCUGCUAUCUUCUGUAGUUGCUGAUUAUCCAACAGUGACUGCCAUUAACCAAAGGAAAUUUAAAUAUAGAUGCCCACAAGAACUUUUUUUACUUUAUAUUUGGUUUUACUCUUUAUCCAUUUUCUUACCUUGUUCAAAUGUAGGAAAUGGUUUUAUGUAAAGGUUACAGUAUUCAGAGCUGAAUGUGAGAAAUGAUGAUAAAACGGCCUUGAUCCUACAGUCUACACACAUACACACACAAUGAAGGAUGGGUAUUGAACAGUGACUGCCGUUUACCUAAGGGAAGUAUAAAUAAAGACUCCCACACAAACUUUUGUU